AAAUUGAAGAGUUUGAUCAUGGCUCAGAUUGAACGCUGGCGGCAGGCCUAACACAUGCAAGUCGAACGGUAACAGGAAUCAGCUUGCUGAUUCGCUGACGAGUGGCGGACGGGUGAGUAAUGUCUGGGAAACUGCCUGAUGGAGGGGGAUAACUACUGGAAACGGUAGCUAAUACCGCAUAACGUCGCAAGACCAAAGAGGGGGACCUUCGGGCCUCUUGCCAUCGGAUGUGCCCAGAUGGGAUUAGCUAGUAGGUGGGGUAAAGGC
rnacentral:rRNA from 1 species